GGGGGAGUUAUGAUGUAUUUAAGUCCUAUUCCAUUGCUGAAAUACAGUGUGGAACACGAUGAACUGAACUCCUCUU
rnacentral:snoRNA from 1 species